CCAGGAACUUUUGAGAAAUGCAAAUUAUUGGGCCUCACCCCAGACCUGCUGAAUCAGAAACUGGGAGUGGAGUCCAGGAAUCUAUAUUUUAACC
rnacentral:miRNA from 10 species